CCGAAGUCGAGCUGUCUUAAUUGAUGAGGCGAAGGAAAAUGCCGAAACUACGC
rnacentral:hammerhead_ribozyme from 15 species